rnacentral:rRNA from 1 species
CAAUGGGCGCAAGCCUGAUGCAGCAACGCCGCGUGCGGGAUGACGGCCUUCGGGUUGUAAACCGCUUUUAGUAGGGAAGAAGGGCUUCGGCUUGACGGUACCUGCAGAAAAAGGACCGGCUAACUACGUGCCAGCAGCCGCGGUAAUACGUAGGGUCCGAGCGUUGUCCGGAAUUAUUGGGCGUAAAGAGCUCGUAGGCGGUUUGUCGCGUCUGCUGUGAAAACUAGAGGCUCAACCUCUAGCCUGCAGUGGGUACGGGCAGACUUGAGUGGUGUAGGGGAGACUGGAAUUCCUGGUGUAGCGGUGGAAUGCGCAGAUAUCAGGAGGAACACCGAUGGCGAAGGCAGGUCUCUGGGCACUUACUGACGCUGAGGAGCGAAAGCGUGGGGAGCGAACAGGAUUAGAUACCCUGGUAGUCCACGCCGUAAACGUUGGGCGCUAGAUGUGGGGACCUUUCCACGGUUUCCGUGUCGUAGCUAACGCAUUAAGCGCCCCGCCUGGGGAGUACGGCCGCAAGGCUAAAACUCAAAGGAAUUGACGGGG